GAUUAAGUUAUUAAGGGCGCACGGUGGAUGCCUUGGCACUAGAAGCCGAUGAAGGACGUUACUAACGACGAUAUGCUUUGGGGAGCUGUAAGUAAGCUUUGAUCCAGAGAUUUCCGAAUGGGGAAACCCAGCAUGAGUUAUGUCAUGUUAUCGAUAUGUGAAUACAUAGCAUAUCAGAAGGCACACCCGGAGAACUGAAACAUCUUAGUACCCGGAGGAAGAGAAAGAAAAUUCGAUUCCCUUAGUAGCGGCGAGCGAAACGGGAAGAGCCCAAACCAACAAGCUUGCUUGUUGGGGUUGUAGGACACUCUAUACGGAGUUACAAAGGACGACAUUAGACGAAUCAUCUGGAAAGAUGAAUCAAAGAAGGUAAUAAUCCUGUAGUCGAAAAUGUUGUCUCUCUUGAGUGGAUCCUGAGUACGACGGAGCACGUGAAAUUCCGUCGGAAUCUGGGAGGACCAUCUCCUAAGGCUAAAUACUCUCUAGUGACCGAUAGUGAACCAGUACCGUGAGGGAAAGGUGAAAAGCACCCCGGAAGGGGAGUGAAAUAGAACCUGAAACCGUGUGCUUACAAGUAGUCAGAGCCCGUUAAUGGGUGAUGGCGUGCCUUUUGUAGAAUGAACCGGCGAGUUACGAUUUGAUGCAAGGUUAAGCAGUAAAUGUGGAG
rnacentral:rRNA from 1 species